UACGUAGGGGGCAAGCGUUGUCCGGAUUUAUUGGGCGUAAAGAGCGUGUAGGCGGCCAGACAGGUCUGCGGUGAAAACUCGAGGCUCAACCUCGAGACGCCGGUGGAAACCGUUUGGCUAGAGUCCGGAAGAGGAGAGUGGAAUUCCUGGUGUAGCGGUGAAAUGCGCAGAUAUCAGGAAGAACACCCGUGGCUAAGGCGGCUCUCUAGUACGGUACUGACGCUGAGACGCGAAAGCGUGGGGAGCGAACAGG
rnacentral:rRNA from 1 species